rnacentral:ncRNA from 1 species
UUUAUAAUUUCUUAUAAAGGAUAGACUAUAUCUUAAAUUCUUUAAUAGAAUCCAUUAUCAUUUAGUCGUUGAACAGCACCUUUUAAAGGAUUGGCUGCUGAUAUUCUUUGAUCUGAUUUUAUCACAAUUUACAGUAAUCAGAUCUUCUAGAUGUUUCAGCAAUUUGAUAAUGUUGCUUUCAUUAAGAAAACUAAGAUUAAAUAUCUUAUUCAACCCCUAAUUAAGGUUGCUUG